rnacentral:rRNA from 22 species
GGCUAGACGACAGGAAGACUGUCUCUUCACAUAUAACUUUGAAUUUAACAUUAAGGUGAAGAGGCCUUAAUAUAAAAGUGGGACGAGAAGACCCCGUGGAGCUUUAGUCUUUAAGUGUUGUUUUUCCUAGUUAAAGACUUUAGUUGGGGCAACUGUUUAUAUAAUUUAAAACAUAAACAAAACUUUUAGCGAAUUAAAUCUCUAUAAAUGACCUAUAACUUUAUAAUCAAUGGAAAAAGUUACCCCGGGGAUAACAGCGUAAUUCUCCCCGAAAGCACCUAUUGACGGGGGAGUUUGCGACCUCGAUGUUGGAUCAAGAUUUCCUAGGGGUGCAGCAGCUCUUAAAGGUUGGUUUGUUCAACCAUUAAAAUCUU